AACUGAAUCACUUUGUUGUACAGCAGAAACGAUCACAACACUUAACUACAGUAAAACUAAAAAAUGAAAAAAAAAGUUCAGGUUUUAGAACAUUUCCAUCAUCUCAAUAAGAAAGAUCCUUCGUGCCCAUUUACAGUUAAUCCCAUUUCUAUCCCCAACCCUAGGAAACCACUCAUCUAUUUUGUGCCCCUAUGGGUUUAUUAUUUCUGGACAUAUCAUCUAAAUGGAAUCAUAGAGUAUGUCUUUUGUGUCUGACUUUCACUUUUAGCAUAAUGUUUGUGAGGUUCAUCCAUGUUAUAGCACAGGCCAGUAUAUCGUUUCUUUUAUUGCUGAGUAGUAUUCCAGUGUGUGGCUGCGGGGACCACACUUGGAGAAUCCCUGCUCUGGCUCAACUGUAAACUGCCAACAUCCAGGCCCUUAUCACCUCUCAUGCAAAACAUGACAAGCCUAUGUCUUGUUUGGAUAUUCCUUGCCUCCCCCCUACACAUCCACUGUAGCUUCUCCAAAUACAAAUCUGUUCAAGUUACUUGCCUGCUAAACAUUCUUAAACAUGUGCCUCAUGGAAUCCUUGUCGUAUGACAUGAAGGACACCUCUCACCCUGACAGACUUUACUAGAAAGGCCUCCUCUCCAGCUUCCCGUUUCCUCACUGCCUGCCUUGAACUUUGUGCUUCAGCAGCAUUGUUUGUAAAUCCUCUCCAUUCCCAAAUGUCAUGCUAUGUUUCUCCUUGAGCCUUUGGCUCAGGCUGUCCCCUUAGCCUGGAAUGUCCCUGUGCCUCCUCCCUUCCUUUGCCUCACUAAUAUCUACUCAUCAUUUGGGAUUCCUCAUGGGCACUACCGUCCCUGAAUCCCAGGCUUGGUUGGAAGCUCCCACAUUUUACUUCCACACCCCCCUUGCCCUGUACCCAUCUCAGUUAUUUUACUAUAACACUGUAUUAAAAUUUUUCUGUUAAUUUCUUUACUCGCCCACCAGGCUAUGAGAUGUGUGUUAUCCGCAGUUGAAUGCUUAGCACCCGGCCCAACACCUGCACAUAGAAAUACUUCAAUGUCAGUGGGUGACUAAGCUGAUCACAGCACCUUAUCUGUUGAGCCACUCUCAUUGGUCUAACUGGUUGGCACAUAACCCAAGCUUGGCCAUUCUUCUUUGGACUGAAGCUGGGUUCCUGGCCUGAUAAAAGUACACAUGAUUCAUCCCUUUCAGAACCUGAGUACUUUUGCUCACUAAGGUGAGAAGUAAGAGAAAGCAUUCAUUUUGAUUUUGUAGAAUGAAGGUUAUUUGGGAUAGAAGGUCUGCCUUUGUGUAUCGGAUUUGCAGAGCUGGGCCUCUUGCAGGGUGGUUGUUCAAUAAAGAUGACUCAACAACAAUGUGUUUAGCAGAAAGAUAAACAUAUUAAAUGCUGAACAAACAGCUAAAGCCUCAAUGGCUCCCAGCCUAUAAUGGCACACCCUGUCCUUGACCACUUUGAACCAAAUUUCAUUCUAAGACACCCAUGUCAUGCAUUUCACUGGGGCCUGCAUGUGCCCCACCCAGUUUGCUCAUCAGCCUCUUUUAGCUUGACAUCACAUUUCCUAAACAGGAAAAUGAUUCCCUUCCCAGAGGGGUGGAGCUGAGCUAAUCCUCUUGGCAGCCAUGUGAUGCAGAACCAGGGAGCAUAGAGAGCCUCCGGUUCAGUUGAGUGAAAAGUCACAGACACGGUUGGAUUUCUUCUGCAGAGCAGGUCAGCCAAACACCCAGGGUGCCAGGUCAUUUGACAUUUUUAAGGGGUUGCAGGCCAUGGGCUUUUCUUGCCUCGCUAGUACCUGUAGUUUACAUGUCCUCAGAAGAAUCAAAUCCUUGUCUCAAACUUGAGUUGAGUAGGUGUGUUCUUAUUUUCUUUCUCAUGAGAAAGCACUGUCUAAAUUGGUGGGGGACAGGAUUUGGAAUGAGGCAGCAAGAGUUAGGGUCUUUGCUGUCCUGCUUGUUUGGCUUAUAUAAACCAUCUUAAACUGCCCUUAGUUUCUUUGUAAGACAGGAAUGUUUUUACUCAUCUGAGUCUACCCAAGAGAGGUAGAAUUUGGCUUAUAAGGAAAAUAUUUUUCUUUCUUGGAAAAAGACUCUUAUAUUUAUCAGUUUAUUAUUCAGCAACUAAAUUUAUGAAGCCAGGUCUCCCUUUAUAAAGCAAAUGAGAUACAAAAAGUUAUAUGAAACAUUUUUUUCUUUUAUUUUAACAAUGGAAAUGAGUGCCUAUGCUAACAUUUCUGGGAGUUGAAAGCCAUUAUUUAAAUCUCUGCCUGAAAGUAAUUCUCUUUGGAUAUCGUCAUUGUUGUACUAGCUCCCUGUGUUCAUUCAAUCAAUGGGAUUUAUUAGGUGUCUGCUGCACUUGGUGCAGGGGAUGCUGUGGUGAAUCAAACACGACACUGAUGAGGUUAACAGAGAAUAAACUGAACACAGGAUGAUCCCCUGACUAUUCUGUAAUCAAGUAAGACGAGCACAGGACACUGUCCAGUAACUUGGCCAUGUGGGAGUCACUGAGGCUUUGACAAGAGCAGGUAAGGUGGAGGGGAAGUUGUGACUCUUCCUGGACCUUCAUUCCCUUAUUUCACACACAUAUAUGAGAGCCUAAUAUUUGCCAGGCACUGGGUUCAUCUGUGAGUAAAACAGACACAAAGUUCCUGGACUUUGGGAGUUUAGACCUGAGUGGGUAAACAGAGGUAAUUACAAAAUGUGAGAUGUUAUGGAGCAAACAAAUAGAGGGCUGAGAGAAGGAAUGAGAGGGAGGACCUAUUUAGUUGAUCGGGGAAGGUCUCCCUGAGGAGAAAAGUUUAGGCAUAAAAAAUGAAAGAGGCCAAUCAGGUGAAGAACAGGGGAAGAACAUUCUAAGCAGCUGGAGUGGCAUGUGCAAAGGGAGGACAGAGCUUAGUGAGUUCGUGCAAUCAGGAUGUCACUGUAGCAGUAGGAGGACAGGGCUACAAGAUGAAGUUGACAGAGGACAAGCCAUGCUAUUUGUGUGUUAUUCAGGGUUUGAAGGGAAGUCACUAACAUUUUAAGGUAAGGAAAUGAUCCAGUAUACAUUUCAAAACACUAUCUGACCAUGCUGUGGAGAAUCAGUCAUGAGGGAAGAGCUGGAGGAAGCAGAAAGAUUUUUAGGGAGGUACUGUAGUAUUCCAGGCAGGAGAUGAUGGGGAUUUGGAAUAGGGAGGUGGUAGUAAAGACAGAGACAUGCAUGGAUUAAAAUCUAUCUAGGGGCUAGAAUUCUCAAGACUUGCAGAUGGAGUGAAAGUGGUAAGUGAGGAAAGGAAGGAAUCAGGCAUCUUCUAGAUAACUGGCCAUUCACUGAGAUGCAAGAGACUGAGGGAGGAACAGGUUUGGGAGAAAGAACCAGGGUCCCUCUUUGGACAUGCCAAAAAUGGAGACACCUGAGAGAGACCAAAGGGACAUGUCCAAUGGAGAAAACUGGAUAAUGACACACUAAGCAACUUGGGCUGGAAGCAGUCUGUUAAUUAUCAGUCUAUUAACUGUAUUUAAAUCCAUGCAAGUGGAUGAAACUAUGUAAGGGAAGUUUGUGCAGAGAGAAGAGAAGAGGUUCUAAGAGCCAGUGCAGGGUCAGAGAGAGGACACAUCAGGGAUCUUGGGUCAUAGGCGGCCAAGGGGGCAGGCAGGAAGCCAGAAGGGGGAUGGUUCAGAAUCAAGAACAGAGAGUGCUUGGAAAAGGAGCUGUGCCCACAGGCUGGAAUGCCACGAGCGUCCAAGGCAGAAAGGCACAAAACGGUAUCCACUGGAUUUGGCCUUCCGAUAGGGAGGUCAUAGCAGGUCAUGAAAAGGGCAGUGUCAGUGUCUGUGGUGUGACAGGACCAAGGCUAGGCUGGAGCAGAUGGAAUCAUGGGUGUGGGGAAGGAAAGGUAUUAGAGACACCCAGAUUGGACUCAAGUUAGGAAAUGGGAGCAGAGAAAGAGGGCAGUAGCUAAAGGGGUAUUUAGGGUCAAAGGAGAGGUUUAUUUUAAAGCUGAAAGAUGUAAGAUAACCCUGUAUGCCAUUGGCAGUGAUUUAGAUAGGGGAGUUAUUGAGGAUGGAAGCUUGGGGGUGCGAGAAAAUGGCAGCGCGAGGUGGAGGAGGACCACACUCCUGUGGGUGGGAAGGACACUUCCAGCAAGAUGGUAGGUACCCAGGAGGUUUGGAGAAGUCAUCACAGGAAGACAGGGGAGCCCCCAUUUGAUGAAAUCUAUUCUCUAUAAACUAUCAAUUAGUUGAAAAGAGGUAAGAAGUGAGGAAAAAGUGAGAUGGAACAGUUCUGAGCAUGGAAGGGCCUAUGCAAGACACCCCAAAGCCCUGGGAACUUUAGGUGAUGGUACUUUUUUUGUUGCCUGAUUUGUCUGGCCACUGACUUUUCAGGGAAGGGCUGAUGGAAUGCAGAAAGGACUCCAGGAGUCCAUAUCCGGAGAGGAAGCUGCAGCACAGAAUACAAGGAGGAAUGCAGAGAACUGAGAGCCACAGCUGGCGAUUCAUGUUGUCAUAACAAAAUUUAAUUUGAUGCUAUUAAGUUUCUUCUCCCCUCCUCCCCCUCCUUUUUUAAUGUCAAAGAAAAAUCACCCAUGUUGUUUAGCUAAUAGGAAAUUACUGUACUGAUGGCUGAGGUGGGUUUUUAAACAAGAUUCUACUAAAGGACACUAGGGGGCAGCAUUGUUAAGAAAAAAAAUCAAAAGUCUAAAUGCUUGUUUUACUUUUAGAUCACAGAAAUGCUCCUCUCCCUUUUCCUCCCUCAUUCCCUCUCUCUUUCUCUCCAUGCUUGCAGCAUGUGGAAAUUCCCAGAUCAGGGAUCAAACCCUCACCACAGCAGAGACUCGAGCCAAAGUAGUGGCAAUGCUAGAUCCACCAUCCACUGAGCUACCAGGGAACUCCCCAGAAAUGCAUUUUAAAAACAUCCUAGUCAGAACAUCAAUUCUGAAUGGGGGAAAGGUCAUUAGGAAAAUCAUUUAGUGCAUUGCAUUCACCUACCUCUGGGAAAGGACAUGCAGACAAACUGAUUAAAUCUGGCAACUCAGGACAAUGUGUCUCCCCUUGCCCAGACUCUUUCACUUUUCCAAGAAGCCUUAGAGAAGCCUUAGCACUAAUGGUUCUCAACCCUGGAUGCACACUAAAACAUUCAGGGAGCUUUGAAAACUACACUAUUUGGACUCCAUGGAAGUUCUGUUACAUCUGACUCUCUGGUGAUGAGGCCAGGCAUCAAUAUUUUAAAAACUAAUCUGAGAUGAUUCCGGUGUGUAGCCAGGAUUUUGUCUACAUCAUGGGUACUGAAGUGUGGCCACCACCACUAGCAGCAGCUUCUGGGAACUUUUUUUUAGGCCUGCACCCGUGGCAUGUGGAAGUUCCCAGGCUAGGGGUCAAAUAGGAGCUGUGGCUGCUAGCCUACAUGGGGUCUGAGAUGGGGAUCCAAUCUUCAUCUGUGACCUAUACCGGAGCUUGUGGCAAUGCUGGAUCCUUAACCCACUGAGUGAGCCAAGAGAUCGAACCCGAGUCCUCAUGGAUAGGAG